rnacentral:lncRNA from 1 species
UGUUCCACCUCCAUUUCAAUUUUUGCAAGCAUCGUACCUGCAUGAACACUUCAAAACUCAUCUUAAAAAUAUAUUAAAACUAAAUUAAAGCUAAGAAUUCAAACUAAAACAUGCAUAAAUUUAAAGAAAUGAUAGAAUUUAAAUGAAGCUGAUAGCAUGUACCCCAAAAAGAAGAUGAACUAUUUAGCUCAUCCUCACUCACACACCCACUUCAUGCUGAAUUCCC